rnacentral:rRNA from 1 species
UACGGGGGGGGCAAGCGUUGAUCGGAAUUACUGGGCGUAAAGGGCUCGUAGGCGGCCAACUAAGUCAGACGUGAAAUCCCUCGGCUUAACCGGGGAACUGCAUCUGAUACUGGAUGGCUUGAGUUCGGGAGAGGGAUGCGGAAUUCCAGGUGUAGCGGUGAAAUGCGUAGAUAUCUGGAGGAACACCGGUGGCGAAGGCGGCCUCCUGGACCGACACUGACGCUGAGGAGCGAAAGCCUGGGGAGCAAACGGG